rnacentral:rRNA from 1 species
AGUGAACGCUGGCGGUAGGCCUAACACAUGCAAGUCGAACGGCAGCACAGUAAGAGCUUGCUCUUACGGGUGGCGAGUGGCGGACGGGUGAGGAAUACAUCGGAAUCUACUUUUUCGUGGGGGAUAACGUAGGGAAACUUACGCUAAUACCGCAUACGACCUACGGGUGAAAGCAGGGGAUCUUCGGACCUUGCGCGAUUGAAUGAGCCGAUGUCGGAUUAGCUAGUUGGCGGGGUAAAGGCCCACCAAGGCGACGAUCCGUAGCUGGUCUGAGAGGAUGAUCAGCCACCCUGGAACUGAGCCACCGUCCAGACUCCCACGUGCGGCAGCAGCGGGGACUAUUGGCCAGUGGGCGCAAGCCUGGUCCAGCCAUGCCGCGUUGGUGAAGAAGGCCUUCGGGUUGUAAAGCCCUUUUGUUGUGAAAGAAAAGCAGCAGGGUAAUACCCCGCUGUUCUGACGGUACCCAAAGAAUAAGCACCGGCUAACUUCGUG